rnacentral:rRNA from 1 species
ACGGCGAGUGAACCGGGAAGAGCUCAAAUUUGAAAUCUGGCGUCCUCAGGGCGUCCGAGUUGUAAUCUAUAGAGGCGUUUUCCGUGCCGGACCGUGUCCAAGUUCCUUGGAACAGGAUAUCAAAGAGGGUGACAAUCCCGUACUUGACACGACGACCGGUGCUCUGUGAUACGUCUUCUACGAGUCGAGUUGUUUGGGAAUGCAGCUCAAAAUGGGUGGUGAGUUCCAUCUAAAGCUAAAUAUUGGCGAGAGACCGAUAGCGAACAAGUACCGUGAGGGAAAGAUGAAAAGCACUUUGGAAAGAGAGUUAAACAGUACGUGAAAUUGUUGAAAGGGAAACGAUUGAAGUCAGUCGUGACCGAGAGGCUCAGCCGGUUCUGCCGGUGUAUUCCCCUCGGUCGGGUCAACAUCAGUUUUGUCCGGUGGAUAAGGGCGGUAGGAAGGUGGCACCCUCGGGUGUGUUAUAGCCUGCCGUCGCAUACAUCGGGUGAGACUGAGGAACGCAGCUCGCCUUUAUGGCCGGGGUUCGCCCACGUCCGAGCUUAGGAUGUUGACAUAAUGGCUUUAAACGACCCGUCUUG